CAGUCGCCGCGGUAAUACGAAGGGUGCAAGCGUUAAUCGGAAUUACUGGGCGUAAAGCGUGCGUAGGCGGUUUGUUAAGUCUGUUGUGAAAUCCCCGGGCUCAACCUGGGAAUGGCAAUGGAUACUGGCAAGCUAGAGUGUGUCAGAGGAUGGUGGAAUUCCCGGUGUAGCGGUGAAAUGCGUAGAGAUCGAGAGGAACAUCAGUGGCGAAGGCGGCCAUCUGGGACAACACUGACGCUGAGGCACGAAAGCGUGGGGAGCAAACAGGAUUAGAUACCCCAGUAGUCCCUGUCUCUUAUAC
rnacentral:rRNA from 1 species